CUCUGAAUUCCUGUUUUUAUAGCAGAUAAUUUUGAGAAAAUUUUGCCUUGAAAAAGAGUCUGAAACCAAAAAGCUAAACAGAGGCAAAGGGGACUCAUUCACACAGAAAGGAAGAUGACAGACAAUUGGCCAGAACAUAGAGCACUGAAGUGAAACACAAAGGCCACUCUUGGGCCUCUGUUAGUUUCUUCUGGGAUCUUUCUUCUUGAUCUGCAGAUGAGUGUUUUCUCCCUGUGUCUUCACAUGAUCUUUCCUCUGUGCCUGUUGUGUCCUAAUCUCCUUUUCAUAUAAAUUCACAAUUGAGCAC
rnacentral:lncRNA from 1 species